rnacentral:rRNA from 1 species
GACGAAAGCUGGCGGCGUGCUUAACACAUGCAAGUCGAACGGAAAGGCCUCUUUCGGGGGGUACUCGAGUGGCGAACGGGUGAGUAACACGUGAGUAACCUGCCCUUGACUUUGGGAUAACUUCAUGAAACUGGGGCUAAUACCGGAUAGGAGCUCCUGCUGCAUGGUGGGGGUUGGAAAGUUUCGGCGGUUGGGGAUGGACUCGCGGCUUAUCAGCUUGUUGGUGGGGUAGUGGCUUACCAAGGCUUUGACGGGUAGCCGGCCUGAGAGGGUGACCGGCCACAGUGGGACUGAGAUACGGCCCAGACUCCUACGGGAGGCAGCAGUGGGGAAUAUUGCACAAUGGGUGGAAGCCUGAUGCAGCAACGCCGUGUGCGGGAUGACGGCCUUCGGGUUGUAAACCGCUUUCGCUCAUGACGAAGCUUUGUGUGACGGUAGUGGGUAAAGAAGCACCGGCUAACUACGUG